rnacentral:rRNA from 1 species
UAAGCGGAGGAAAAGAAACUAACAAGGAUUCCCCUAGUAACUGCGAGUGAAGCGGGAAAAGCUCAAAUUUAAAAUCUGGUGGUCUUUGGCCAUNCGAGUUGUAAUUUAGAGAAGCGUCUUUCCGCGCUGGGCCGUGCACAAGUCUCCUGGAAUGGAGCGUCACAGAGGGUGAGAAUCCCGUCUUUGGCAUGGACACACCAGGGCUUUUGUGAUGCGCUCUCGAAGAGUCGAGUUGUUUGGGAAUGCAGCUCAAAAUGGGUGGUGAACUCCAUCUAAAGCUAAAUAUUGGCGAGAGACCGAUAGCGAACAAGUACCGUGAGGGAAAGAUGAAAAGCACUUUGGAAAGAGAGUGAAACAGUACGUGAAAUUGUUGAAAGGGAAACGCUUGAAGUCAGUCGCGUCGACCGAGACUCAGCCUUGCCUUGGCUUGGUGUACUUCUCGGCCGACGGGUCAGCAUCAAUUUUGCCCCUUGGAUAAUGAUGAGGGAAACGUGACACCUUUAUGGUGUGUUAUAGUCUCUUGUCGCAUGCAAGGGUCGGGAUUGAGGAACUCAGCACGCACCUUUGGGUGUCGGGGCUUUGCCCACGAUACGUGCUUAGGAUGUUGGCGUAAUGGCUUUAAACGACC